UUGAUGAGGGCAUAGGACUUACAUUUUAAUUUGAAUGGAGUUUCUGCAAGUGAGAUGCUUUGAAGUGUGCAGUGGGCUUGUUAAAUGCACAUCAGUGUAGGUGUACAAGAGUCCAUGUUGGCUAAACAGAAUCCACUUUGUUGGAUGUUAGCCCAAGCAAAUCCUUCGGUUACAUCUACAGAAAACCUAUGCAAUUUUAUGACAGUGUGUAAGUAAUAGGCAUGCAGGCUUAAGCACUGUUGUUUUCAACUUAAACUAUGAGCUGUAUUUUGCACUACAUUCCAGUUUGUCAUCUUAAGGGUGGGGAAUCACUAAAAGAACUAAGUCAGCCAACAAGGCUGCCAAGCUAAGUUUGCUGUGACACUGAUAAAUAUUCAGGCCAAUGUCUUUCAAACAUUAUUGUGAAUCACCUUUCCCUCCUUCCUUCCCCUGCUUCAGUCAUCUUGUUGGCUCAGAAUAUUCACCUUUGUCUCAGACCUCAGCUGCCUUCUCUUUAUUGCAGAGGAUUGCUAUUGUCUUUGUCUCUUUUAUCCGCUUCGCUGUGUCUCAUUUUCCUAAAGUACCUGGCACCCACUUUUCCAUAAUACUGUUCCUUUGUUUCAGGAAAACAUAAUUUCAGGAGGCAGCAAAAAUACAGUUCCAAAGGCCACAGGGUGACAUCCUCUCUCACCUGAUCUUUAUUCAUAUCAGGGUUUAAUGGCAUUUUUUUUUUCCAUUUCUCAAGCACCCUGCAACUCCCUUCCUCCCUGACAGGAAGGCACAUUUUAUUUCUCAUAAAAAUGCUUUCCUACCGAUCUUCUGUUCUUCAGAAGUUUCAGAGGCCCUUCUGUUGCAUGUUGGUUUUCUCAUGUGGACUGACCCAAUGACCUGGUUGUGGUUUAUUACUGUUUUGACUUUUUUUUCUCCCUCCUACAUCAGGAGGAGCUUGCACCCUUUUGUCAUUUCUCAUCUCUGUUGUAUCGCCUUCAGCAGAAAUCUCCCCAAACUCUGUUUUCAGUUUCAUGGUAUGAACAACUGGCGAGCUUCAAUAUCUGAACUGGCUGGCUUUUUAAAAGUACUAUUUGAACAUACAGUUAAUCUUGUGUUUGUUUUGUACAUAAUCUACCAGCUUUGGAUCUCACUGAAAAAAAAAAGGUCCUCUUAUUUCUACCAAGUCAGGAAAUUAUGCUGUUAUACAGUCCUUUGUGUACACUUUCUCAGCUCCCUGAUGCACUGAAAAAGGGGCCUCAGUCCAUUGAAAUAAUACAAAACCUCAGUUUGCUGAUGGAAGUCAUAUGCAAUUUUCUGUGUACAUUUUACACCAGAAGAUACAGUGCCUAUUGUACGUCCUUGUUUAAAACUCAAACACAAUGGCUCAUGCAGCUGGAUGGUGACCUACCAAUGAAGUUUAAGACAGCAUAGACUUCCACAUGAACCUGCUGAUUAAUGAGAGAACUGUCUUCUUUUCUACCCACAAAAGGCUACUCACACAUUCAGAAUGUGAUGCAGACUAAAACCAAAGUGCAGCUUGCCACGGGAGUAAAGAAGAAACACACACAGGAUGCACCUUAGAAGCAGUUCAGCCCUGAUGAAAAAUUCCUGUAGAAUUUAACACAAAAUGAUGAGCAUUCUGAUACCUUUGAUGGUGUAAAAGGAGCUCUGAAUACAUGAAUCACAAUUCGAUACCAUCCAAAGAAUCUGACUUCUCAGGAAAUAUUUCAUCAGAUGUUAUACAAAGGGAUAAGUUCAAACUGUCAAAGUUUUUAUGUGGAAAGUUCUGCCUCUGUGGAUUUCCUCUGAAGGUGUUUGGAACUGAUGAGCUGUGAUUUCGACACUGUUUCCCACACUGCUGUGAGCAGUUGAUUCUCAUCCAUGUUGCAAGCACGUUUGCUGAAUGUGGUACUUCGGGUCCAGCUAAACGUAAUUUUCAAGUGUUAAUUCUGUAGUCUUAAUGCAACGUCUCCUCUUUAUCGUUUCUUUGAUCUUUUAAGGUACUUCUUGAAGCAUAAGCAAGCAUCCUUCUUCAAGCAUAGCAGGGAAAGUAUCAUUAAUCUUUGGAGAUGCUGAUUUCUGUUUCUCAUUUUCUAGUGUUUGAAGGUAUCCUGAGUUGCUGUUAAUAUGUUCAUUACCAAGGAUUUAAUUUACAGUUAAUAAUUUUUCUAUAUGCUCUUGGUUUUAAUUUUAUUGUUAUUGGGAAGCUUACUAAGAAAAAUCAAAAGAAUAUAUUUUUAUUUUCACUGUAUAUUUGCACCAAAUACUGAACAGUUAUAUUAACCAGAUUUGUUGCUGAGCUGCUUGGUUUCCUCUAUUACACACUGAGAUUUUCCCAACUGUUGUCUUAAAGAACAUCUGCUUUUCCAUCUGGUCAUUCAUGUCUACUCUUCAGGUCCUUUCUACAUGCUUGGGCUGUACAGUCCAUUUAUUCUGCACAUAUGGAGUCUGUCAUCUCCCAUUCACAAGCAGCCUUCCUAUCUCACCACAUUCACAGACUUCUCAGUGACAAAACCAGUAGGCCUGCCACUGUUUGGAGGCACAAAUUCCCCUCAUUUGAAGGCUAUAAUAAUUAUUGUCAUUGCCAUUCUCUUAACUCUGAAAGCUAAUUUAUACUGAUAACAGGCAAAGAAGUGAGCUUUUCUCUGGAAUGCAGUUGUUCUGCAUCUAAAGUACAUUUCUGGUGUAUGUCUCCACAAUGUUAAACAGCAUAAAUCCCUGGCUUAGCUAUGGAUUGCACCAAGUACCUCCCCCAGAAAUAAGCUCUGGCAUUUUGUCAAACAGUUUGCACCAGAAAGAAUCCCCAAAGGAAGCAUGGAUGAGACCACUGCAUGUUACCCCCCCUUCCCUAUCCAAGCAAUGUCCAUUCACUACACGUACCUUCCUAGGCUUUCUGCAUUUUGAUCUACAGAAAUGGCACCCAAGGAGCUGCAGCCUAGGUGCCACACACUGAACAAACCCUGCAGGCCAGGAGUGCUCUCCUAACACAACAGCACAGGCGACACUGCAAAGGGCGCUUAGUCCUACACAGUAGGGAUGUGAGCCCAGCGAAGGCCCUCACCUCAAGGUGAGGCUGCAUCUGGUCCUCUUCUAGCAGCAACGCAGGCAUGGCUAGCAGCAUUUAAACACAUUUUAAAGGAUUUUAAACACAUGGUUGAGGUGCAGGCUUUUCUUUUACGUAGCUAUUUCCGUAAGUCUAAAUGUAACAUAGUACCUGCCCUAAUAGCUACCUUCCUCUUAUCCUAAAAUAGGCACAGACCUACUUUCAUUCAAAGUAAAGCUCCCAGCCUCUGACUAUAUUUUUCCCUUCCCUGCUAAGCAGAAAGGAUCCCAAACAAGAAAAACCAUCACCAAAAAUAUUCUUGCAAGGACUGAGAAUUCCCCAGGCUAUUGAUUGUAACAGAAACACUCUACCUUUGGCUUCCCUUUGAAAUGCCAUACCCAUAGUUUGUGCUUGUGCUAAAAGCACAGCUGGGAGUGCACUGCAUUCCCAUAUAAGCACAUCUGGGGGCAUUCAAACUGCUGUUGUAAAAUAGAGCUACAGAAUCAUUCAGGUUGGAAAAGGCCACUAAGAUCAUCUAGACCAACCCCAAUAACCUGUGUCCCUCAGUGUUACAUCUACACGUUUCUUGAACACUUUUAGGGAUGGUGAUUCCACCACCUCCCUUGGCAGUCUCUGUCAAUGCCUCACCACUCUUUCUGAGAGAAUUUUUUUCCUAAUAUCCAACUGGAACAUUUCCUGGCACAACCUAAGGCCAUCAGCAUUCAUCCUAUCACUAGUUACCUGGAAGAAAAGGCCAACCUCCAUCAGAAGAGGGUGAUCCCCCCCGCAUCAUUGGUGUGAUACCUCUCAGAAUGGGGUAAUUUGCAAAUAUUUAGUGCACUACUAGACCAGAUUCAAUCUUGCAAGAAAUAAAAGUGCCUGUCAUCUGAUGAUGGAUAGAGGCACUUGGUAUAUGCACGCUCAUUUUGCUGCUUUCCUCUGUGUAGAGAAGUGGUCAUUGAAGGAAAGGGAAGCUGACAGACAAGAAAGGGAAGUUGGCACUAACUGAACAGACAUGAAUUAACCUCCCAGAAGAUGGGCCCUUUGGUCAACAGAGAAUAGCUGAAAGGGGAGUAAGAGGAAGCUGGUAUUAUCUCUUUUUAAGAAGACUCUUUCGUUUGCAGAAAUGAUCCCCUCAAGGCUAUUUAGAAUACCAGGCACAGUCAAAUCAUUCAUAAAGUUAAGCUGAGAUAAUAAGAAGAACAAUAUUAAUUAAAAGCAAAGACACCUGAAGAUAGCAGAAGGGUGGACUCUCCUUCCCCUUCUCUCUUCUCCAAGGUAUUACUUCAUUUUGUAGGAGGCAGAGAUUAGAACAGCAGCUUAUAGCAAAGGGAAGAAAGAGGAGAAUUAUGCCAAAUAGAAAAUUGAAUCUUAAGAUACCUGCAUACCCAACAGGACAGAAAAAUGACACAUGCAAAGAGCAUCUGAAAUGCAUUAUACACAGAAAAAGUACCAGCAAGGAAGUAAGCCACUACUAGAUGAAGGAGGUAAGAUCAUUAAUAAUGAAGAAAGCCAUAUUCAAUAAACACGUCCAUCCUCAAUUUGGAGAAAGUAGGAUGACAGCAGUAUCGUAUCAAGCAGCUGAAGCCUUUUUCAGUCCAUUAGUAACCAAAUAGGAUGUUAAACAUCUACUUGUGAUAAAAACCUGUAAUUCAUCAGGCCCAGAUAACUUGCACCUGAGGAGUCUCAAAUAGUUGGUGAAGGAGAUUCUUGAUUCCAUGUGUUAAUUUUUAAUGGGUCUUGAAAUAGUAUGGAAAUUCCAGAAGAGUGGAAGAAGACUGAUGUUUUGCCAGUAUUCAGCAAGGACGAACAUGAUGACCUUGGUAAAUAAAUGCCAGCUAACCUAACAUCAAACCAGAGGGGAAGUGAGGAGGGAAUAAUAGAAUAUGGGAUUUAACUGAUAAAGAAUUAAAGGAUAGGAACAUAAUUAAUGC